rnacentral:rRNA from 1 species
CCUACGGGUGGCAGCAGUGAGGAAUAUUGGUCAAUGGCCGGAAGGCUGAACCAGCCAAGCCGCGUGAGGGAGGAAGGCGCAGAGCGUCGCAGACCUCUUUUGCCGGGGGACAAAAGGCCGGACUCGUCCGGUCCUGAGGGUACCCGGAGAAAAAGCAUCGGCUAACUCCGUGCCAGCAGCCGCGGUAAUACGGAGGAGGCGAGCGUUAUCCGGAUUCAUUGGGUUUAAAGGGUGCGCAGGCGGGCCGUUAAGCCGGCGGUGAAAUCGCGGGGCUCAACCCCGCCGAGCCGUGGAAACUGGGGGACUUGAGUGCAGGAGGGGAGAGCGGAAUGCGAGGUGUAGCGGUGAAAUGCGUAGAGAUCGGGAGGAACACCGGUUGCGAAGGCGGCGUGCCG